UACGGAAGGUCCGGGCGUUAUCCGGAUUUAUUGGGUUUAAAGGGUGCGUAGGCGGCUUAGUAAGUCAGAAGUGAAAGCCCGCAGCUCAACUGCGGGACUGCUUUUGAAACUGCCAAGCUAGAGUGUCGGAGAGGUAAGUGGAAUUCCUAGUGUAGCGGUGAAAUGCGUAGAUAUUAGGAGGAACACCAGUGGCGAAGGCGGCUUACUGGACUGUAACUGACGCUGAGGCUCGAAAGCGUGGGUAGCAAACAGG
rnacentral:rRNA from 1 species